CCCGGUAAAACGGGACGGCCCCCCAGAGGACCCCUAAAACUCUGUUUCUAUAUGUAACUUCUGAGUAAAACCAUAAAUAAAUCAAAACUUUCAACAACGGAUCUCUUGGUUCUGGCAUCGAUGAAGAACGCAGCAAAAUGCGAUAAGUAAUGUGAAUUGCAGAAUUCAGUGAAUCAUCGAAUCUUUGAACGCACAUUGCGCCCGCCAGUAUUCUGGCGGGCAUGCCUGUUCGAGCGUCAUUUCAACCCUCAAGCACAGCUUGGUGUUGGGACUCGCGUUAAUUCGCGUUCCUCAAAUUGAUUGGCGGUCACGUCGAGCUUCCAUAGCGUAGUAGUAAAACCCUCGUUACUGGUAAUCGUCGCGGCCACGCCGUUAAACCCCAACUUCUGAAUGU
rnacentral:rRNA from 1 species